AAAUUGAAGAGUUUGAUCAUGGCUCAGAUUGAACGCUGGCGGCAGGCCUAACACAUGCAAGUCGAACGGUAACAGGAAGCAGCUUGCUGCUUCGCUGACGAGUGGCGGACGGGUGAGUAAUGUCUGGGAAGCUGCCUGAUGGAGGGGGAUAACUACUGGAAACGGUGGCUAAUACCGCAUAACGUCGCAAGACCAAAGAGGGGGACCUUCGGGCCUCUUGCCAUCAGAUGUGCCCAGAUGGGAUUAGCUAGUUGGUGAGGUAACGGCUCACCAAGGCGACGAUCCCUAGCUGGU
rnacentral:rRNA from 1 species